UGAUCGGAAAACCUAUUCAUAAACAUUAACCGUUUGAAUCGGUUAACCUCUAUUUCUGUUACUAAUUGAACCGGUUAACCGAAAUCCUGGUUAACCCAUUUGUAUCGGUAUUGCUUUAUUCAGUUUGAUCUGUAAUCUAUUAAGGUUAACAGAAAUCGUUUUGGUAUAACUCAAGUGAAUGGGUUACUAGUUGAAACUGUUAACAGAAAUAAAACAUAUUUGGUUGACAGCAAAAAGGGAUAGCGAUAGUGUUUAGAUACAAGUGCGCGCGCAUGCCGCCGCGCAUCUUCCGCUCCGGUCUUGCUUGACGCGUAGUGCCUACAAUUAGUAUAGUGUUGCGUUUCUUCGUACGAACUACCUUCACUGUGCGCCUGACCUUUUAUUUAUUAUCUAAAGUAUUCUAGGUGAAACUACUGGCUGAGUAACGUGAGCUCUUUCUUAGGUACUUACAUAAUGGCUGACACCAAUAAUGAUAAUUAUAACCGUCCCGUAUCACCGUCAAUUUUACAACCGCACCCGCGGAAACGAAAGAAUGAAACAUCUGAUAGCAGUGAAGCGAUGAUUGGCACAGCAAAGAAGAAAUUGAACGUUGCGUACAUUGAAGGAGUAAAUACUGGCCUACAUGAUUGUACCUGUCUUCGAAAUGAAAAGGCAUUAACUUUUCGUUUUCUCAUAAACGGAAUUCCAGAUAAAAAAAUAGAAAUAUUUUGGGAUGAAGUAUUAAAUGUCGUGCAAAAGUAUUCAUCUGAAUAAUUGUACAUACCUAUAGAUACGAAAUUUCGGAUAUAAUAUAUUAAAUGGAAAAAUAAAACAAACAACAUAAUUAUAUAUUCGUAUUUAAUUUAAAAAAAAUCGCCUAUCCAAAAUCGUCAUCACCAAGAGUACCAAUUGUGCAUAAAAUGUGCUCAUUCAGUUUAUUAGCAAUUGAUCGCUAUUUUUGAUUUGUAAUAACCCUGUACAAUCAACGGCAUAUCAGAUUAAACACUUUAGACUUUG